GGGUUGUGAGGUUAAGCGACUAAGCGUACACGGUGGAUGCCCUGGCAGUCAGAGGCGAUGAAGGACGUGCUAAUCUGCGAUAAGCGUCGGUGAGGUGAUAUGAACCGUUAUAACCGGCGAUUUCCGAAUGGGGAAACCCAGUGUGAUUCGUCACACUAUCAUUAACUGAAUCCAUAGGUUAAUGAGGCGAACCGGGGGAACUGAAACAUCUAAGUACCCCGAGGAAAAGAAAUCAACCGAGAUUCCCCCAGUAGCGGCGAGCGAACGGGGAGCAGCCCAGAGCCUGAAUCAGUGUGUGUGUUAGUGGAAGCGUCUGGAAAGGCGCGCGAUACAGGGUGACAGCCCCGUACACAAAAAUGCACAUACUGUGAGCUCGAUGAGUAGGGCGGGACACGUGGUAUCCUGUCUGAAUAUGGGGGGACCAUCCUCCAAGGCUAAAUACUCCUGACUGACCGAUAGUGAACCAGUACCGUGAGGGAAAGGCGAAAAGAACCCCGGCGAGGGGAGUGAAAAAGAACCUGAAACCGUGUACGUACAAGCAGUGGGAGCCUCUUAAUGGGGUGACUGCGUACCUUUUGUAUAAUGGGUCAGCGACUUAUAUUCUGUAGCAAGGUUAACCGAAUAGGGGAGCCGAAGGGAAACCGAGUCUUAACUGGGCGUUAAGUUGCAGGGUAUAGACCCGAAACCCGGUGAUCUAGCCAUGGGCAGGUUGAAGGUUGGGUAACACUAACUGGAGGACCGAACCGACUAAUGUUGAAAAAUUAGCGGAUGACUUGUGGCUGGGGGUGAAAGGCCAAUCAAACCGGGAGAUAGCUGGUUCUCCCCGAAAGCUAUUUAGGUAGCGCCUCGUGAAUUCAUCUCCGGGGGUAGAGCACUGUUUCGGCAAGGGGGUCAUCCCGACUUACCAACCCGAUGCAAACUGCGAAUACCGGAGAAUGUUAUCACGGGAGACACACGGCGGGUGCUAACGUCCGUCGUGAAGAGGGAAACAACCCAGACCGCCAGCUAAGGUCCCAAAGUCAUGGUUAAGUGGGAAACGAUGUGGGAAGGCCCAGACAGCCAGGAUGUUGGCUUAGAAGCAGCCAUCAUUUAAAGAAAGCGUAAUAGCUCACUGGUCGAGUCGGCCUGCGCGGAAGAUGUAACGGGGCUAAACCAUGCACCGAAGCUGCGGCAGCGACACUAUGUGUUGUUGGGUAGGGGAGCGUUCUGUAAGCCUGUGAAGGUGUACUGUGAGGUAUGCUGGAGGUAUCAGAAGUGCGAAUGCUGACAUAAGUAACGAUAAAGCGGGUGAAAAGCCCGCUCGCCGGAAGACCAAGGGUUCCUGUCCAACGUUAAUCGGGGCAGGGUGAGUCGACCCCUAAGGCGAGGCCGAAAGGCGUAGUCGAUGGGAAACAGGUUAAUAUUCCUGUACUUGGUGUUACUGCGAAGGGGGGACGGAGAAGGCUAUGUUGGCCGGGCGACGGUUGUCCCGGUUUAAGCGUGUAGGCUGGUUUUCCAGGCAAAUCCGGAAAAUCAAGGCUGAGGCGUGAUGACGAGGCACUACGGUGCUGAAGCAACAAAUGCCCUGCUUCCAGGAAAAGCCUCUAAGCAUCAGGUAACAUCAAAUCGUACCCCAAACCGACACAGGUGGUCAGGUAGAGAAUACCAAGGCGCUUGAGAGAACUCGGGUGAAGGAACUAGGCAAAAUGGUGCCGUAACUUCGGGAGAAGGCACGCUGAUAUGUAGGUGAAGUCCCUCGCGGAUGGAGCUGAAAUCAGUCGAAGAUACCAGCUGGCUGCAACUGUUUAUUAAAAACACAGCACUGUGCAAACACGAAAGUGGACGUAUACGGUGUGACGCCUGCCCGGUGCCGGAAGGUUAAUUGAUGGGGUUAGCGGUAACGCGAAGCUCUUGAUCGAAGCCCCGGUAAACGGCGGCCGUAACUAUAACGGUCCUAAGGUAGCGAAAUUCCUUGUCGGGUAAGUUCCGACCUGCACGAAUGGCGUAAUGAUGGCCAGGCUGUCUCCACCCGAGACUCAGUGAAAUUGAACUCGCUGUGAAGAUGCAGUGUACCCGCGGCAAGACGGAAAGACCCCGUGAACCUUUACUAUAGCUUGACACUGAACAUUGAGCCUUGAUGUGUAGGAUAGGUGGGAGGCUUUGAAGUGUGGACGCCAGUCUGCAUGGAGCCGGCCUUGAAAUACCACCCUUUAAUGUUUGAUGUUCUAACGUUGGCCCCUGAUCGGGGUUGCGGACAGUGUCUGGUGGGUAGUUUGACUGGGGCGGUCUCCUCCUAAAGAGUAACGGAGGAGCACGAAGGUUGGCUAAUCCUGGUCGGACAUCAGGAGGUUAGUGCAAUGGCAUAAGCCAGCUUGACUGCGAGCGUGACGGCGCGAGCAGGUGCGAAAGCAGGUCAUAGUGAUCCGGUGGUUCUGAAUGGAAGGGCCAUCGCUCAACGGAUAAAAGGUACUCCGGGGAUAACAGGCUGAUACCGCCCAAGAGUUCAUAUCGACGGCGGUGUUUGGCACCUCGAUGUCGGCUCAUCACAUCCUGGGGCUGAAGUAGGUCCCAAGGGUAUGGCUGUUCGCCAUUUAAAGUGGUACGCGAGCUGGGUUUAGAACGUCGUGAGACAGUUCGGUCCCUAUCUGCCGUGGGCGCUGGAGAACUGAGGGGGGCUGCUCCUAGUACGAGAGGACCGGAGUGGACGCAUCACUGGUGUUCGGGUUGUCAUGCCAAUGGCACUGCCCGGUAGCUAAAUGCGGAAGAGAUAAGUGCUGAAAGCAUCUAAGCACGAAACUUGCCCCGAGAUGAGUUCUCCCUGACCCUUUAAGGGUCCUGAAGGAACGUUGAAGACGACGACGUUGAUAGGCCGGGUGUGUAAGCGCAGCGAUGCGUUGAGCUAACCGGUACUAAUGAACCGUGAGGCUUAACCUUACAACGCCGAAGGUGUUU
rnacentral:rRNA from 1 species